UACGAAGGGGGCUAGCGUUGUUCGGAAUUACUGGGCGUAAAGGGCGCGUAGGCGGCCCUCCAAGUCAGAUGCGAAAGCCCCGGGCUUAACCUGGGAAUUGCAUUUGAGACUGAAGGGCUUGAGUUUCGGAGAGGUGGGUGGAAUUCCCAGUGUAGAGGUGAAAUUCGUAGAUAUUGGGAAGAACACCGGUGGCGAAGGCGGCCCACUGGACGAACACUGACGCUGAGGCGCGAAAGCGUGGGGAGCAAACAGG
rnacentral:rRNA from 1 species